rnacentral:rRNA from 1 species
GAUUUCUGGUUUUAAUUGACUUAGCCCGCUACGGUUACGUAUGUGUGUGCUGAUGUUAAUUGACCAUCCUUCUAGAGAACAUUGUUCUACUCUUCAUUGAGCAUGAAUAUGCAAUCUAGAUCUUUUACUUUGAAAAAAUUAGAGUGUUUAAAGCAGGCAAUAUUGCUAUGAAUACAUUAGCAUGGAAUAAUAAUUUAGGACUUUGGUUCUAUUUUGUUGGUUUCUAGGACUGAAGUAAUGAUUGAUAGGGAUAGUUGGGGGUGCUAGUAUUCAGUGGCCAGAGGUGAAAUUCUCGGAUUCACUGAAGACUAACUUAUGCGAAAGCAUU